rnacentral:lncRNA from 1 species
UGAUCUUUAAGUAGAGGUUGCAGGAAGUUUGGGGAGUUGAUUGGUAGGACUGAGUAGAAAGCAGAAGUAACACAGGAGGUGGAGGUAAAGAGAAGAGAAAUUAAGAAGGAAAAUCUCAUCAAAUGACAUAUUUAAAGAUAAAUUAAUUAAAUACAGAAAAGGUCUUUUACAUGCAUCGUUGGAUUGCAGUCUCAAGCCUGGGAUUCCAACGGAAUUAACGUCCAUUGAAAACUUACUGUGCUCAAGGCACAGAACGGGGUAGUUUUAUACACAUUCUCCCAUUUGGAUUUUUCAAAGACAACAUCUAAUCAUCCCCAGAGAAAUUUCAGCUGAGAAGACAGGAUGUUUCCAUUCUAAUUGCAGAUGAAGUGCCCUGGGGGCCAGAGUCCAGACAAGUAUUUUGGCACCUCCAAGGACUCGCAGAACACAGAGAGGAAAAGAGAGACCCUGUUAUCUUUCCGCAGGGGUGGCCGUUCAAACUCUCAGAGAUGGAAGUUAAGAUUUCCUUUGGUAUAAGUGGCAGUUUGACUGGCUGCAAGGAGAGCCUCAGUUUGUUUAAUUUGGAGUAAAAUUUUAUGAGUUAAUCUCUAGUGAGGGAAAGCAGCAGUAAACACAGAACAUACUGGUCA